UAGUUUGGCUUGGCAUUUCCAACCAGUUGAGAAUGAAUUCUGGACUUGGGUUGGCAAGAGUUAAGAGCAUAUCUUCUAUAAAUCUUUAUUUUGUGCUUUGGAGAGACCAGCACACUUGUCCUCUGGUAAUCAGAAAUAUUGCCUACCCUCACACAAAGAGUAGAGAUCUGAUAAAAGCUCUGAUCACAAUUUGUGCUUUGCUUUCCUCAUCAUCAAUGCAAUUUUGAAGUCAUGUUUAAGAGGAAGUCCAUGCAUUCCUCACUGAGCAGGAAUAACCCAUCGGGUCUGAGCAGGAAGAGUUAACAUCCUAGACAUAGUGCUUUGUACAAACCAAAGAACAUAAAGAAUAUUCCAGGAAAGCCAUAAAGAGAGAUGAUGCAGUAAUUGUUUCUGGGACAUUAGAAAUACUGCUGUGCUUCCAAGUUGCUGAGUGAGCCUGACUGCAGUGUCUGGCUCAGGGUGACUCUGGGGAUGGCACUUUCACAGAUAUCAGCAAUGCAGGGUAGUCCCAAGCAGGUCCUGAAACUUUAACAUGUGAUGAGGCCAGAAAGUAGUUUGGUGCAGUGAUAAUGAUUUAUUUAAUGCAACUAAUGUAUGUAAAGAUUCAUCCAAGACAGUGAGGAGUCUGCCAAGAGCACUUUCUUGGACACCACAGUGAUCAAUCCAGGCUGGAGGCUGGAGGCUCGAGUAUAGGUCUGUGGGAUCAAGCUACUAAUUUUUAGUGGGUUUGAGCUGCUCUUAAAUAUACUUUCAUUAGUUAGGGUGGCACCACCAAGUCUGCUUCCUACUGAGCAAUAGGAAGACAGAAAGAGCAUCUACAACAGUAAUAGUUUUACACAAAUUGAUUUAAUAUCUGGAAUAAUAGGAAACUUACAGAGCUUGGAUGAGGGAUGAAGGAGGUGGACAGAAAGAGGUGGAAAUAGAGGAAGAGAUCUCAGCUGGCUGCAGACAAAGGAGAAAUGUGUCUUCUCUCUUUUCUCCUGUCAGCUGAAGCACACCAUGUUGCACACAGGUGCAGAGAAUGCUUUUGGCACACCCAUGAAGCCAUUCUUGACUUUGUGACCUGUUUAGUGACAGGUGAACAGCCCCUGGGUGAAGUGGGUGUGCUGCCUUUUGCACCCUUUUGAUGUCUUAUUCCACAACUGGGUCCCACCACAGGGUCCUUCAGGCUGUGGUUUACUGAAUGGUCUGCUAAGGGGCUUAAUUACAGUCUCAAAUUCCCAAAGGUUUUUCUAGUCUGUCUAAAAUAUUUAUGUCUGCAACAAUUCAGACCUGUUUAUGUCUCUUUUUUUGCCUGCUGGGUAAAAAGUAGUUUGGCUUUUACAAUGUGUCUGUAUACAGGGUUUUAGUAGCUUGGAUUGCUUUUAUAUGUUUAUAAUGAAAGUAACAGCCCCUUAAAAAUUGGAUUAUUGAUCAUGGGAAGACAGUAGGUAUUUUUAAUCUUCGAGGCAAGACUACAAAUAAAUCAAAUUAUAUGAAGUAUUUUAUUUAAAGGCAUUUGAUUUUAUUAAAACUGCUACAUCUGGUGUUUGCAUAAACGGAAUAAUUCUGCUUGUUCAUAUGAGGGUUCAGAGGAAACCAUGGUAGGCGUUAGUGCUUCUCACUCAGUAAAGUGCACUGAUGUCAACAAGUCAAAACUAAACUCUUUCCAAAUUGCAAAAAAAACACUGAAAGAUUAAAAAUUAAGGAUUUUGACAGGUGUAAAAUUCGCAUUUCAGCUGAUAAAUUGUCCACAGGAGUUGUGAUCUUUUUGCACAGAUGCACAUGAUGCACUGAAAAUGUAGGAUACCAUCAUGUGCACCUAUACAUACAUUCGAAGUGUAGUUGAGCAUGUGUGUAAGUGUGUAGAUGUAUAUUUCUAAACCUAAAUACCUACAUACAUAUUGCACUGUCAUGAGGCACCACGGCUGCUUUUGGCCCUGCAGUCUGUGGCACUUCUGUGGAUGUCCUGUCCAGUACCUGUAGCAGUCUCUCUGACUGUCCUGCUUGGAAUUCCCACCCUAGUGAUGAUGAACUGCAGGACAAACACCCUCCCUGUCCAGGUGUCUGAAUCUGGGGGUUUGUUUGCAUGUUCCAGAUGUUUGCUCUGCCAGAUUUGACCACAGGAAUGUGAGGCCAGUGGGCUGAGCCUCAUGAAGCAGAGAAGAGAAGCAGUUAGCCUGGAGUUUGCAUCUUCCAUCAUUUCCAAGGGCGAGGCAGAAAACUGGUUUCUCCCUGGGAGAAGUCAACCAAAGAGGAGCUGUGCCUUGAAGGAGCCUCAGAGAUGUUUUUGUCUGUCUGUGUUCCUCACCCCUGGCCAUUCAUGCAAGCAGCCUUCCCUACCUGCACGCCGAGCUGCACUGCCUCGGGAAGAUACCAGCCUGUUACCCAGCUUAUCUGCAUGGUACCAACUUCACCUUGUUCCCUCUUCUCACUCUGAGGGAUUAGCAUCCAAAGAAAACCAAAUUAGUCUGGUAUCAAUUCAGCCAGGAAAGCGAGUAGCCCAAGCGACCAGAACGCUCCUGCUGGCAGGACUGAGUGCAGAAGGAGGCUGGCAGGGUGUGCUCUUUGUGUGCUGCCCAGCUCCACCACGCUCUCUCAGAGGCCCACAGGGACACCCUGGGUCCUGCUGUGGGGAACCAGACUCUCCUGUGCCCACAGGAAGCCUCACUUGCUGGCUCCAUGCUCCAUGUGGCAGUGCCAGUUAGGAUGUGUAUAAUGCCUGCUUGGAUGUGUCUGUUGCUUUUCUCCAUGUGUCUUGUGGUCAUCUGAGAACUGAUGAGGAACCAUUCUGUUUCCAUUUUGCUGAUGGAAAAGGAGAGCCUUUGAGAGGCUGAGUGAUUUGUCCAGGAUUAUGCAGCAAAUCAAUGGGAGAAAAGGGGAUCAGGCCAUUCUACACAGGAGUGCCUUUAACUGUCCCAUGGGCUUUCUAGGGAAAGGCAUGCAGGUCCCCAAAGAGGCCUCUUCCAGCAGUGUUCCUCCAUUAUUUCUGUCAGAUUAGUGCUGUGAACAGUGGAGAAAUGCAAAACAUAUUAUUCAUUUCUCCUACUCCUAAAAUCAAUAGCUAUCAAAAUACAAAUACAAUUUCAAUCAAAAGGCACUUAUUGAGUGCAGAUCCUACUAAUUAGGUAUGAUUUCCCAACACUUUCUUAAAUUAUUUAUCCAAGGGAUGGGUGAAAGGCGCUUUAUAUGUCCCAGAGUGAAUAUUAUAAACCUCUUGUCAUGAUACAGAAAAUGUGAAAUGUAGUGCAAUGCAGUGUGAUUUGUAACCAUGAUGAACUAAUGUAAUAUCAAUAGACAUCAAUCUGUGCAAAAAAAUAAAUCUGUCUCAUCAUAACAUCUAACAAGAUAUGUCAAAAGUCAAUAACCUUGUGAAAUGGACACGUAUCAGUGAAGGUUACAGACUUUGCUGCUAGGAAUCAAUUAAAAAUGUAAUACCCACUUGCAAUGGAAAUUACUACACCAUCACCAAAAAGGAGGUUUACAUCAUGCAUGGACAUUUGUCAUAAGGGCAGCUCCCUUUAGGCUGGCUGUUGGCUCUGUAAGCAAUUCCACUGCAAUAGAUGGCUUUUUGGUUUUUUUUCCUCUUAUGCUGCUAUUGCUUAGUUUAGCCCCAUAACCAACAUGCAAAAAAUAUUUAUGCCAUAUCCAGUUAAAUAUAUUUUUAAAACCCAUACAGAAAAGAGCCAAUGGUUUUAAAGAUUUUUGUGUAAAAAUUAGAAAGCAGCUCUCCUGUUAAAUGAAAGAUUUACAAUUUUCAGACAAUAAUGUAGAUUAAUGUUCUUCAAUUUUUAAUUAUAAGGAUUUUUCUCAAGCUUCUUUGGAUCUUAAUUUUCAAACUUAUACUUCCAUCCAUACAGCAGAUCUUAAGGCUCCACCACACCAACCAUGUGUCAAGUGAAAUUCUUGAUCCAAUCAUAUAGAUGUGAUACCCACUCACCAAAUGCUUUCAAAUCAAUGAUUUAAAAGAAGAGUACGAAAUAUUAUAUAUGUUUUCUCCUCAAUUUUUGAAACCAAUUGAUAAAAUAUUCACUUUUUAGGCAUUUUACUUUGCCAAUGUAAUCUGAUAAUAACUUCAGGACAAGUGUAACUUUGAGGCCAAAACUAAGGAUUUGAAUGGGAAGGGAGGUCCUAUGGCUUCAGAGACAGCAGCAUGUGAGGGGCUGAAGUAAAACUAUCAGAGUAAUUCAGAGCUUAAAUUUUUAUCUUGGUGCUUUCUUGUGUAGCCUUAAUGGUGACCAGCCCCCAGGAAAGCCAUCAGGAGCCUGAGCAAAAAGCUGCAGUGGUCCAAAGUGCCUGUGUGGUUCAGCUGCUGCCGGCAGCCCGCGAUCACUCGGCAGCACUUCAGUGCAAUUGUGCAACCUGGGAUUCAAGGCAGAGCCAUAACUCAGAAUUUCAUGGCAUUUUAAAGCACAAGUCAGAAUUUUAAUGGUAUUUCAACCUUCCUUAUUAGUUGCACAAUAAGUGUCUUUCAGCCAGUGUUCUGCAAAUUCCUUCCUGGUGGUCUGCAAAAGACACAGCUUGAAAGUCAGAGCAGUGGAGGUGAAUGCUGGGUGUGUGGAAAUGGAUCUUGAAUUGAUGGGAGGAAUAAGGGAUUCUGAAAAAGCACUGCAAUAAGAUGGCAUGGGAUAAUAAGGGUAGUAGCAAAAAGUUUAAAAAAGCAUGCCAUGAUUAAAUUGGAUAUAUAGGAUAAAUUCAACUUCAGUUAUUCAGCUAUCCUGCUUGUAUUUUUGUUGGUUUUAAUUAAUGAAAGUUUGUCUGGCAGGUAUGAAAGCAAAGUUCAAUCUCAGAAUGUUUGAAUUAGAACUCCCAGCUCCAUCAAGUGAAACAGGCAAUGCUACAUUUAAUGUUUUGCAUUUUCUCAUUCUGUUUAAAUAUGAAUGAGUAUCUGGAAGGAAUAUCCAACAUUGCAGAUACUGUUUAGUGAUAUAUUCUUCUUAUCUUCUUUUCUUCUGUCUAAUGCCUUUCAUACAUGCUUAAAAACUGUGUGAUUGUAUCUCUGAUUGUGUAUUAGUGACUGCAGAGGUUACCUAAAUUGAGACAAUGGACUAAUUUUUUUUCAAAUGCAGGGUAGAAGCACAUCUGUUUCAAACAGAUUUUUGAAAUGCCUUUUGUGAGUUCAAAUCACAUACAGUAAUGACCACUUAAGUGAGCUCCUACACACACAAGUCAUUUGCAACAGUGCUAACAAAUGUAUCUAUAAAAUGUCACUUGCAUUUUGGUGUUCUGAAAUAGGCUCAUCCUCUCCAUUGCCCUGGAAAAUUCAGCCCUCUGUUAUGUAGAGGAUUCUAAAGAAAAGCAUGUGUUCUUCCUCAUGGAGGAUGUGUUAGCUACUGUAUAACUGUACUUGAUAUAUAUUUUGUAUUUUGCUUGGGUCUCCCUUUGAGUGAGGCAUAAAAUUUUUUUGAGUUGUAACUAACACUGUUUUCUAGCCAUGAAUUGUUAUAAUUAUAUAAGAUUAUGAAUAUAAUUGAGGUAAUAAAACCAAAGCAAACAGUCUA